CCUACGAGUAGCAGCAGUGGGGAAUAUUGGACAAUGGGCGAAAGCCUGAUCCAGCCAUGCCGCGUGUGUGAAGAAGGCCUUCGGGUUGUAAAGCACUUUCAGUGGGGAAGAAAGCCUUGGGGCUAAUACCCUCGAGGAAGGACAUCACCCACAGAAGAAGCACCGGCUAACUCCGUGCCAGCAGCCGCGGUAAUACGGAGGGUGCGAGCGUUAAUCGGAAUUACUGGGCGUAAAGCGCGCGUAGGCGGUCUGAUAAGCCGGUUGUGAAAGCCCCGGGCUCAACCUGGGAACGGCAUCCGGAACUGUCAGGCUAGAGUGCAGGAGAGGAAGGUAGAAUUCCCGGUGUAGCGGUGAAAUGCGUAGAGAUCGGGAGGAAUACCAGUGGCGAAGGCGGCCUUCUGGACUGACACUGACGCUGAGGUGCGAAAGCGUGGGUAGCAAACAGGAUUAGAUACCCCAGUAGUC
rnacentral:rRNA from 1 species